AGUGAACGCUGGCGGCAGGCCUAACACAUGCAAGUCGAGCGGCAGCGCGAGGGCAACCCUGGCGGCGAGCGGCGGACGGGUGAGGAAUUCGUCGGAAUCUGCCUUUUUGUGGGGGAUAACGUAGGGAAACUUACGCUAAUACCGCAUACGUCCUACGGGAGAAAGUGGGGGACCGCAAGGCCUCACGCAGAAAGAUGAGCCGACGACCGAUUAGCUAGUUGGUGGGGUAAAGGCCCACCAAGGCGACGAUCGGUAGCUGGUCUGAGAGGAUGAUCAGCCACACUGGGACUGAGACACGGCCCAGACUCCUACGGGAGGCAGCAGUGGGGAAUAUUGGACAAUGGGCGCAAGCCUGAUCCAGCCAUGCCGCGUGUGUGAAGAAGGCCUUCGGGUUGUAAAGCACUUUUGUCCGGAAAGAAAUCCCUGGAGCUAAUACCUUCGGGGGAUGACGGUACCGGAAGAAUAAGCACCGGCUAACUUCGU
rnacentral:rRNA from 1 species